rnacentral:rRNA from 1 species
UACGUAGGGUGCGAGCGUUGUCCGGAAUUAUUGGGCGUAAAGAGCUUGUAGGUGGCUCGUUGCGUCGGGAGUGAAAACCUGCGGCUUAACCGCAGGCCUGCUUCCGAUACGGGCGAGCUAGAGUUCGGCAGGGGAGACUGGAAUUCCUGGUGUAGCGGUGGAAUGCGCAGAUAUCAGGAGGAACACCGGUGGCGAAGGCGGGUCUCUGGGCCGAUACUGACACUGAGAGACGAAAGCUAGGGGAGCGAAUGGG